UGCCAGCCGCCGCGGUAAAACGUAGGAGGCGAGCGUUAUCCGGAUUUACUGGGCGUAAAGCGCGUGCAGGCGGCUUGUUAAGUCGUGCGUGAAAGCUCCCUGGCUCAACCGGGAGAGGUCGUGCGAUACUGGCAAGCUUGAGACAGGUAGAGGCAGGUAGAAUUCCAGGUGUAGUGGUGAAAUGCGUAGAUAUCUGGAGGAAUACCCGUGGCGAAGGCGGCCUGCUGGGCCUGAUCUGACGCUCAGACGCGAAAGCAUGGGGAGCGAACGGGAUUAGAUA
rnacentral:rRNA from 1 species